GUGUGAUUCAAUCUACUCGACCAGAUUCGGCGUCCUUUUCAUCCGGACCUUUGUCAUUGUGUUCAGACAAGCUCAGGCGGCAGGACAAAUGUCUAAUACGGAAGUAGAGGUCGGCAUUGAGUUCAAUCAAACUGCUUCGGCUGCUGAAAUCCCACGGGCUGAAGACGUUGCAAAGACCUUAGUGGACGCUGUGAAUAACCCCAACAGCACCUUCAACCUCUCUAUUGAUGCCGCUUCUGUCGCUGUAAUUCAAAGCAGUAUCCCAUCAAAUACCACAACAGCAGCGCCUGCCACUGAAGCUCCCCGAAGAGUCGUUGUCCUCUCAGCUACUUUGCAACAAGCAUUCGUAAAACAACUCAAUGAUAAAAACAGCACGGAAUUCAGACAACUCGAGGCAACAGUUG
ensembl:lncRNA